rnacentral:rRNA from 1 species
CACGUAGGGCGCAAGCGUUGUCCGGAAUUAUUGGGCGUAAAGAGCUCGUAGGCGGUCUGCUGCGUCCGCUGUGAAAACUCGGGGCUUAACCCCGAGCCUGCAGUGGAUACGGGCAGACUAGAGGUAGGUAGGGGAGAAUGGAAUUCCCGGUGUAGCGGUGAAAUGCGCAGAUAUCGGGAGGAACACCGGUGGCGAAGGCGGCAUCCUGGACCGACAUUGACGCUGAUGAGCGAAAGCGUGGGGAGCGAACAGG